GCCAGCAUGGUGUAGUGGUCUCAGUGUUGGAUUAGGACUCUGGAGACUAGGGUUCGAAUCCCUGCUUGGCC